rnacentral:misc_RNA from 1 species
UCCGGCUUAUCACCGGCGGUUUCUCUAGAGUGCCCAACUAAAUGAUGGCAACUAGAGACAAGGGUUGCGCUCGUUGCGGGACUUAACCCAACAUCUCACGACACGAGCUGACGACAGCCAUGCACCACCUGCACACAGGCCACAAGGGAAUACCUAUCUCUAGGCACGUCCUGUGCAUGUCAAACCCAGGUAAGGUUCUUCGCGUUGCAUCGAAUUAAUCCACAUGCUCCGCCGCUUGUGCGGGCCCCCGUCAAUUUCUUUGAGUUUUAGCCUUGCGGCCGUACUUCCCAGGCGGAGUGCUUAACGCGUUAGCUGCGGCACGGAGGGAGUCGACACCCCCCACACCUAGCACCCAUCGUUUACGGCGUGGACUAC